UGAGGAAUAUUGGUCAAUGGGCGCAAGCCUGAACCAGCCAUCCCGCGUGCAGGAAGACGGCCCUAUGGGUUGUAAACUGCUUUUCCAGGGGGAGAAACUUGCGCACGUGUUGCGCAAUUGACGGUACCCUGGGAAUAAGCAUCGGCUAACUCCGUGCCAGCAGCCGCGGUAAUACGGAGGAUGCGGGCGUUAUCCGGAUUCAUUGGGUUUAAAGGGUGCGUAGGCGGACUAUUAAGUCAGUGGUGAAAUCCUGCAGCUUAACUGAAGAACUGCAAUUGAUACUGAUAGCCUUGAGUUUGGUUAAGGUAGGCGGAAUGUGUAAUGUAGCGGUGAAAUGCUUAGAUAUUACACAGAACACCAAUUGCGUAGGCAGCUUACUGAGCCGACACUGACGCUGAGGCACGAAAGCGUGGGGAUCGAACA
rnacentral:rRNA from 1 species